GCGAGGGUAGCCAAGCCAGGUCAACGGCGUCAGGUUCAGGGCCUGAUCCCGCAGGGGUUCUUGGGUUCAAAUCCCAUCCCUCGCA
rnacentral:tRNA from 1 species